rnacentral:rRNA from 1 species
GGAGAUCACUGCUAUUGGAAUUCGGUUAAGGCAUGCGAGUCGAGAGGGUACGGCCCUCGGCAAACGGCUCAGUAACACGUGGACAAUCUGCCCUUAGGUGGGGGAUAAUCUCGAGAAAUUGAGCAUAAUACCCCAUAUCUUUAGAAUGCUGGAAUGCUUCUAAAGAAAAAGCCCCGGCGCCUAAGGAUGAGUCUGCGGCCUAUCAGGUUGUAGUGAGUGUAACGGACUCACUAGCCGACGACGGGUACGGGUCCUGAGAGGGAGAGCCCGGAGAUGGACUCUGAGACACGAGUCCAGGCCCUACGGGGCGCAGCAGCUACGAAAACUUCACAAUGCGGGAAACCGUGAUGAGGGGAUUCCAAGUGCUAAUACUUUGUAUUAGCUGUUUACUUGCCUAAAAAGCAGGUAGAGUAAGAGCUGGGUAAGACUGGUGCCAGCCGCCGCGGUAAUACCAGCAGCUCGAGUGGUGAUCGCUAUUAUUGGGCCUAAAGCGUCCGUAGCCGGCUUGGUAAACCCUUGGGUAAAUCGGGCAGCUCAACUGUCCGACUUCUGAGGAGACUGCCAGGCUUGGGACCGGGAGAGGUCAGAGGUACUUCUAGGGUAGAGGUGAAAUUCUGUAAUCCUAGGAGGACCACCAGUGGCGAAGGCGUCUGACUAGAACGGGUCCGACGGUAAGGGACGAAACCCUGGGGCGCGAACCGGAUUAGAUACCCGGGUAGUCCAGGGCGUAAACGCUGCGGGCUUGGUGUUGGGGGUCCUACGAGGGCGUCCAGUGCCGGAGAGAAGUUGUUAAGCCCGCCGCCUGGGGAGUANGGUCGCAAGACUGAAACUUAA